rnacentral:rRNA from 1 species
AAAUUGAAGAGUUUGAUCAUGGCUCAGAUUGAACGCUGGCGGCAGGCCUAACACAUGCAAGUCGAACGGUAACAGGAAGCAGCUUGCUGCUUCGCUGACGAGUGGCGGACGGGUGAGUAAUGUCUGGGAAACUGCCUGAUGGAGGGGGAUAACUACUGGAAACGGUGGCUAAUACCGCAUAACGUCGCAAGACCAAAGAGGGGGACCUUCGGGCCUCUUGCCAUCAGAUGUGCCCAGAUGGGAUUAGCUAGUUGGUGAGGUAACGGCUCACCAAGGCGACGAUCCCUAGCUGGUCUGAGAGGAUGACCAGCCACACUGGAACUGAGACACGGUCCAGACUCCUACGGGAGGCAGCAGUGGGGAAUAUUGCACAAUGGGCGCAAGCCUGAUGCAGCCAUGCCGCGUGUAUGAAGAAGGCCUUAGGGUUGUAAAGUACUUUCAGCGGGGAGGAAGGUGUUGUGGUUAAUAACCGCAGCAAUUGACGUUACCCGCAGAAGAAGCACCGGCUAACUCCGUGCCAGCAGCCGCGGUAAUACGGAGGGUGCAAGCGUUAAUCGGAAUUACUGGGCGUAAAGCGCACGCAGGCGGUCUGUCAAGUCGGAUGUGAAAUCCCCGGGCUCAACCUGGGAACUGCAUUCGAAACUGGCAGGCUUGAGUCUUGUAGAGGGGGGUAGAAUUCCAGGUGUAGCGGUGAAAUGCGUAGAGAUCUGGAGGAAUACCGGUGGCGAAGGCGGCCCCCUGGACAAAGACUGACGCUCAGGUGCGAAAGCGUGGGGAGCAAACAGGAUUAGAUACCCUGGUAGUCCACGCCGUAAACGAUGUCUACUUGGAGGUUGUGCCCUUGAGGCGUGGCUUCCGGAGCUAACGCGUUAAGUAGACCGCCUGGGGAGUACGGCCGCAAGGUUAAAACUCAAAUGAAUUGACGGGGGCCCGCACAAGCGGUGGAGCAUGUGGUUUAAUUCGAUGCAACGCGAAGAACCUUACCUGGUCUUGACAUCCACAGAACUUUCCAGAGAUGGAUUGGUGCCUUCGGGAACUGUGAGACAGGUGCUGCAUGGCUGUCGUCAGCUCGUGUUGUGAAAUGUUGGGUUAAGUCCCGCAACGAGCGCAACCCUUAUCCUUUGUUGCCAGCGGUUAGGCCGGGAACUCAAAGGAGACUGCCAGUGAUAAACUGGAGGAAGGUGGGGAUGACGUCAAGUCAUCAUGGCCCUUACGACCAGGGCUACACACGUGCUACAAUGGCGCAUACAAAGAGAAGCGACCUCGCGAGAGCAAGCGGACCUCAUAAAGUGCGUCGUAGUCCGGAUUGGAGUCUGCAACUCGACUCCAUGAAGUCGGAAUCGCUAGUAAUCGUGGAUCAGAAUGCCACGGUGAAUACGUUCCCGGGCCUUGUACACACCGCCCGUCACACCAUGGGAGUGGGUUGCAAAAGAAGUAGGUAGCUUAACCUUCGGGAGGGCGCUUACCACUUUGUGAUUCAUGACUGGGGUGAAGUCGUAACAAGGUAACCGUAGGGGAACCUGCGGUUGGAUCACCUCCUUACCUUAAAGAA